CAGUAGCCACGGGAAUACGUAGGUGGCAAGCGUUGUCCGGAAUUAUUGGGCGUAAAGGGCUCGCAGGCGGUUUCUUAAGUCUGAUGUGAAAGCCCCCGGCUCAACCGGGGAGGGUCAUUGGAAACUGGGAAACUUGAGUGCAGAAGAGGAGAGUGGAAUUCCACGUGUAGCGGUGAAAUGCGUAGAGAUGUGGAGGAACACCAGUGGCGAAGGCGACUCUCUGGUCUGUAACUGACGCUGAGGAGCGAAAGCCUGGGGAGCGAACAGGAUUAGAUACCCCCGUAGUCCCUGUCUCUUAUAC
rnacentral:rRNA from 1 species